UCCCUCCAGGACCUGACUUACCAAGAAGGGAGGGGACCAGGUGAAAACAAUAGCUGGGCUGAAGCCACUUCCAUGAAGAACCGUCAUCCUGGCGGGGCGCAUGUCCCUGAAGGCAGGAGAGGAUGAGGAUCCGUUAGCGUGCUGUCUCCAUCCGGCUUUGUCCAGCCCAGUCGUGCUCACUUACCUCAGCCUAGCGAGGGCAUCUUGAAGCAGAUGCUCCGGAAGCAGUUCUGGAAGGCCCCUGGAGCCCACCAGAACUCCCUCCAGCUGCUUCCUCCAGCCAGAUCUCCGAGACAUCUGUGGACAGAGGCUCCGUGUGGUAUCCAGUGUGGUCUGAGUGAAGUCCUGGGCAAAGGUUAUAAAAUGGUUAAUGGGUUUCCAACAGGAAGACAAACUAUAAGGCAAGGUGCUUGGGAAACACUGACUGCUCAAGGUCCUGAGUUCAAUUCCCACAAUGACAACCAUCUAUAAUGGGCUCUGAUGCCCUCUUCUGGCCUGCAGGUGUACAUGCAGGUAGAGGACUCAUAUACAAAAAAUAAAAAUAAAUCUUAAAAAAAAAAUCAUUGAAG